rnacentral:lncRNA from 13 species
CUAGGAGAGAAAAAGCUGCAGUCCCAGCUCAAUCCCAGAGUUGUCUUUGACACCUUAUUGGAUGCUGCUCAUACCAUGUACCACAGAGUAAAGGAUAGACUGAACGUCUUUUUGUCUUUUCCACCCGUGUCAGUCACCACAGCCAAAGAUGUGCUGGACUCCACCCCUGUGGAGACACUCAGAUGCUCAAAGUCCCCUGACACUGCUCUUGUUAAGGACAGGAGCCGCCCUCCGUCUGUGAGAAGUGAGAAGCCAUUUUCAAAAGUCAGUUUGACUAAAAGGUCUAAAGCCCUUGUGUCUUCGAGUGGCUCCUCCACAGACCACCAUGUAAUUGACACAUGCAGUGAGGAUGUCACUCUGCCUACCAGGAGUAUGUCAGUUGUGAGCGACACCAGUUUGAAGAGAACCUCUCCUCUCCAUGGUAGUGGAUUGAGUGCAAGUUGUGAACCUCUUGUGGCUCUACAAGACGGAACAGUGGCAGUCAGCCAAGAAGGCUUUAGCAAAACUGCAAAGGAGACGCUCAGCUUGAUCCUAAAUGUGAUCAAGUGCAGAUUGGCCAACUCUGAGAGUUCAUCUGUUGGGCAGAAUGCAAGGGAGGAGCUUCUGAUAACCACUAACAUGUUAGACUCUCUACUGGAGAGCCUUGACCUGUUGCCUGACAUGAGUGCUGCCAAUGAGAUCACAAGGACAGAAUGCCAUACCUCUAACGCAAUGGACAAGACAGGUUCACAGUCAGCGCUUGUGAAUCAACAAGAAAUAAACAUAUCUGACACCAGUCUCAUAGUGAAAACUAUAAUGGACACAUUGAAGACAGACGACCCAGAGAUGACUUCAGCAGAAGAAAAUCUGGAUAGACUCCUGUCAAUUGAAGCCCUUCAAGAUGCGUCUGGCAACCUGAUCGCAAAGGUCCAUGGUCUCAUUCAGGAGAUAACCAUAAGCCGCCAGCUUCAGUCCACGACUGGCCACAGAAGCCUCUCUCAACCAGCUCUGCCAAAGCCAGCACUGAGGAAGCUGUCAAAGCACGAUGCGUCAGAGCUCGUUUACAGCUUUGCCCAGACUUCUGUUAGCAGACUCCUGGGGCAGUGUUUGGUUAGGCCUAUGCCACCCACCGCUGACAGGGUUUUGGAUCAGGUCAUCAAGUUGAUGACAGACAUGGUGAUGGACAGCCUGACUGAUCUGUCCAAGUCUGCAAUGGAGGAUGUUAUUGUACCCAGGUCGGUCACACCAGCUUGCUCUUCUUACUCAGACACCAGCAAUGCUGCAAGUGACAUCACUCAUGGUAUUGUGGCUGACCUUAAUGCUACUGAGGAAUUCCCUGCCAGGGGCCUUAGCCCGGCUGAUGUAAAGGCUGACGGCAUGGCCCGCCUUCCCUCUGCCAGGGGGGAAGAGACUAAGAAGAACAGGAAGUGGCAUUUCCNNNNNNNNNNUCUGCCAAAGCCAGCACUGAGGAAGCUGUCAAAGCACGAUGCGUCAGAGCUCGUUUACAGCUUUGCCCAGACUUCUGUUAGCAGACUCCUGGGGCAGUGUUUGGUUAGGCCUAUGCCACCCACCGCUGACAGGGUUUUGGAUCAGGUCAUCAAGUUGAUGACAGACAUGGUGAUGGACAGCCUGACUGAUCUGUCCAAGUCUGCAAUGGAGGAUGGUAAGUGAAAGUACCUCUUCAUCUGCAUAGGACUUCAUUGUAACAUGAUGCUCACUACAUUGCAUUUUAUGAUGUGAACUUUGCUGUUUGCGUCCAAAAUGGCACCUUCUUCCAUAUUUAGUGCACUACUUUUGACCAGAGCCAGACCCUAUGGGCCCAGUUCAAAAGUUGUGCACUAUAAAGGGAAGAGAAGGCCUUUUGGGACACAGUGACUGAUUUCCAUUGUUGCGUCCUCUUCUCCCAGUUAUUGUACCCAGGUCGGUCACACCAGCUUGCUCUUCUUACUCAGACACCAGCAAUGCUGCAAGUGACAUCACUCAUGGUAUUGUGGCUGACCUUAAUGCUACUGAGGAAUUCCCUGCCAGGGGCCUUAGCCCGGCUGAUGUAAAGGCUGACGGCAUGGCCCGCCUUCCCUCUGCCAGGGGGGAAGAGACUAAGAAGAACAGGAAGUGGCAUUUCCUGCACAAAAUUGUCAAGAUUCCAAAGAUCAGGAUUAAGGUAGAGGGCUCAGUGUCUUUAGAUUACCUCUGUAAGGCAGGGCUGAAAUGUACCCUACAUAUUCACUAAACCCCUAUUGUCUCUGCAUUAGAACAAUGCUGUUGUCAUUGUCUUUAGGAGGUUGAGUGAGGCCGCUGUAAUACAAUCCUAAUACACAUGGGAGCGAGAGAGUCAAUGGAUGUGUUCCAAAUUGCACCCUAUUCCUUAUAUAGUGCACUACUUUUGACCAGAGCUCGAUGGGCCCUUGUCAAAAGUAGUGCCUUAAGUAGCCAAUAGGGUGUCUUUUGGGAUCCAUGCCAUAUAUUUUACACAGGCUCAGUUGUCCUGAUGUGUUUUGUCAACAGCUGUUCAAGACAAAGGGGGAACCGAAGAGCCACCCUGAACAGGAUUCUCUGCCUACCAAACGUCUCAGAGAGACUCGUAUUUCACAGGGUAAGUGAUAAGCAUCGAUAAUGUCAUAUUGAUGUAUCACCCUAUGGCCAGCUUGUUAAAACGGUGACUACAGAUACAGGCGGACAGACAGAUACACACAUUCAUUUUCUGAUUAUGAAAUAUUAUUUUCACAGAUGCUGAGUGUGAGGUUCCAUCCACUUCCCCACCCAAAGAGGACCUGACAACCACACUGGCCCCUGCUCCCCAGGAGUCCCAGUCCCGUAAACGCCCUCUCAUAGUCAGGGUGUUACGAGCUAUCUCCAGAGCCGUCUCCAAACCAUUCAGAGAAGCUUUUGGGAAGAAGAAUUAGCCAAAUGCCAGAUUUUAUUACUAUUUUAAUCAGAGCCUUUAUUUAAUAAAACAUUACUGCAUGGAUUUCUGUCUAUAGUCGUCUUACUGUUUGUGCAAGAUAAUGGUACCACAUUGUCAAACAUAGUUAUAGUGAAGCACUGUUUAUGAUUAUUGAUUGUGGAAAUCACAUUUUAAUACAGAAAAGAUGUCGUCACAUAAAGACAGACAUAAAGGAGAAAACUCCGUCGACUAUUCACAUGAUCAAGACACAACUAAAGCCAUGAAUGGAUCAUAUUAUUAUACCUUGAUUUCAACAAGGAACACAGACUGAGACCAAGGUGUCUUUUACAGCUGGGCCCUGCGUAGACAUGUUACACAUUCAGUUUAGCUACAAUGAUUAAGAAACUACACAAGACAAACAAGACCAUCACAGAUAACACACAAAUACAGCAGCAGAUUAUUACGUUUGCACACAGGUUAUUCCCCUAACAGCACAAUAACUUGCAUUACCCGAAAGUUACAAGCAAUACAGAAAUAAAAAUCCUCCAAUAAUUAUUUAAAAUGGGCAACAGGGGGACAAGAGUCUCAAAUGUAAGUUUAGUCUGCAGGCUUUUCCAUUGGCAAGGAGCGUAACAGGAAAAGGCAGCCAUACCCAACUCUGUGGAAAUCGCAUGGACCUCAAGCGUAAUCCAUGCUUGAGACCUGGUUUUAGGAAUUCUAAUUCUAAUAUUGAUGAGUGAUGAUAAAUAAGAUGGUAGUUUAUUCAGAAGUGCUUCAUAGACAAACACAAGAACAUAUUCUCGUCUCAUGGACAGCGAAGUCCAACCCACAUUUUGAUACAAAACACAGUGGUGAGUUCUGUAGCUAGCGUCCGUAAUAAACCUAAGUACUCAAUGAUAAAUAGCAUCCAG